rnacentral:tRNA from 2 species
GGUCCGCUGGCUUAAUGGCAGAGCGUCUGACUACGAAUCAGGAGGUUCCAGGUUCGACCCCUGGGUGGAUCG